UACGUAGGGUGCGAGCGUUGUCCGGAAUUAUUGGGCGUAAAGCGCUCGUAGGCGGUGUGUCACGUCGGCCGUGAAAACCUGCAGCUUAACUGUGGGCGUGCGGUCGAUACGGGCAUCACUGGAGUUCGGCAGGGGAGACUGGAAUUCCUGGUGUAGCGGUGAAAUGCGCAGAUAUCAGGAGGAACACCGAUGGCGAAGGCGGGUCUCUGGGCCGAUACUGACGCUGAGGAGCGAAAGCGUGGGGAGCGAACAGG
rnacentral:rRNA from 1 species